rnacentral:rRNA from 1 species
UUGACCUCAAAUCGGGUGAGACUACCCGCUGAACUUAAGCAUAUCAAUAAGCGGAGGAAAAGAAACUAACAAGGAUUCCCCUAGUAACUGCGAGUGAAGCGGGAAAAGCUCAAAUUUAAAAUCUGGUGGUCUUUGGCCGUCCGAGUUGUAAUUUAGAGAAGCGUCUUCCGCGCUGGACCGUGCACAAGUCUCCUGGAACGGAGCGUCGUAGAGGGUGAGAAUCCCGUCUUUGGCAUGGACACACCAGGGCUUUUGCGAUGCGCUCUCGAAGAGUCGAGUUGUUUGGGAAUGCAGCUCAAAAUGGGUGGUGAACUCCAUCUAAAGCUAAAUAUUGGGCGAGAGACCGAUAGCGAACAAGUACCGUGAGG